rnacentral:tRNA from 1 species
UAAUGCAUUAGAAUUAGAAUCUAAUUA